GUCAGAUUUGAUGUUGUCAUCGAACCCUUCCUGUCUGCAGCAGCAGGUCCCACUAGGUGGUUCAGCCUCAUCUGGAACUCACUAGGUGGCCCAAGCUGACCUCAGAUUUACUGUGAUCCUUAAGCCUCAGCCUCCUUAGUGCUGAGAUUACAGAUCCAGAAACAAUGGCGUCACUGGACCGUACACUGAAACCACUGAAACCGUAAGCCAA